rnacentral:tRNA from 1 species
CAGGAAGUAGUUUAAAUAUAUGUGUCAGCUUUGGGUGUUGAUGGUAAGGUGAGGUGCCUUCUUCUUGA